CAGCCGCCACGGGAAUACGGAGGGUGCAAGCGUUAAUCGGAAUUACUGGGCGUAAAGCGCACGCAGGCGGUUUGUUAAGUCAGAUGUGAAAUCCCCGAGCUUAACUUGGGAACUGCAUUUGAAACUGGCAAGCUAGAGUCUUGUAGAGGGGGGUAGAAUUCCAGGUGUAGCGGUGAAAUGCGUAGAGAUCUGGAGGAAUACCGGUGGCGAAGGCGGCCCCCUGGACAAAGACUGACGCUCAGGUGCGAAAGCGUGGGGAGCAAACAGGAUUAGAUACCCGUGUAGUCCCUGUCUCUUAUAA
rnacentral:rRNA from 1 species